rnacentral:rRNA from 1 species
UACGUAGGCAGCGAGCGUUGUUCGGAGUUACUGGGCGUAAAGCGUGCGUAGGCGGUGGUCCAAGUCUGGUGUGAAAUCUCCCGGCUUAACUGGGAGGGUGCGCCGGAAACUGGGCCGCUGGAGUACGGGAGAGGCAAGCGGAAUUCCAGGUGUAGCGGUGAAAUGCGUAGAUAUCAGGAGGAACACCUGCGGUGUAGACGGCUUACUGGACCAUAACUGACGCUGAGGCACGAAAGCGUGGGUAGCAAACAGG